GCUACCUUGAAAAGUCGUACAAUUGCCAAAACAAUCUUUUUGUUGCUAUUAGUUAAUUAAAACGGUCGAUGGCAAUUUUUCUCUGAAGUUCAGAGAGAAAGACUUUGAUAGAUAUUGGGAAUGCAUGCGAACGUGUUCCGGGAG
rnacentral:ncRNA from 1 species